rnacentral:rRNA from 1 species
GCGCGAAAACUUUACAAUGCGGGAAACCGUGAUAAGGGGACACCGAGUGCUAGCAUCAUAUGCUGGCUGUCCAGGUGUGUAAACUACACCUGUUAGCAAGGGCCGGGCAAGACCGGUGCCAGCCGCCGCGGUAACACCGGCGGCCCGAGUGGUGAUCGUGAUUAUUGGGUCUAAAGGGUCCGUAGCCGGUUUGGUCAGUCCUCCGGGAAAUCUGAUAGCUCAACUAUUAGGCUUUCGGGGGAUACUGCCAGGCUUGGAACCGGGAGAGGUAAGAGGUACUACAGGGGUAGGAGUGAAAUCUUGUAAUCCCUGUGGGACCACCUGUGGCGAAGGCGUCUUACCAGAACGGGUUCGACGGUGAGGGACGAAAGCUGGGGGCACGAACCGGAUUAGAUACCCGGGUAGUCCCAGCCGUAAACGAUGCUCGCUAGGUGUCAGGCAUGGCGCGACCGUGUCUGGUGCCGCAGGGAAGCCGUGAAGCGAGCCACCUGGGAAGUACGGCCGCAAGGCUGAAACUUAAAGGAAUUGGCGGGGGAGCACAACAACGGGUGGAGCCUGCGGUUU